AACCGUUCUGUGGGCGGAGUCCUCUCGCAGCAUCCGCCAGGUAGCUUCUUAGUCUCUUCCCCUAGCUCUAGGAGCUCCUGAGUGCACACGCCGUACCCGUCCCUUGUCGGGAAUCCUGUCGCAGGUUUUUAAGCAACAGUCCUCAGGAGGGCCAAGGGAGUCUCACAGUGAUGUCUUCCCCCAGGCUCAUUCCCCUGUGGAAAGAUUUAAAACUCCUCCUAAAUGACACCAUAAAUAAUAGCAAGCAACCUUCAGAAGACCCAAAGAAUUGCCUAGUUGUGCUGAGCGACCGGUCCCAGGUACUGUUCAAAGAGUCUCGCUAUCCUCAAAAUAUGCCGUGUGUAUGCUAUUACUUCAGUGAUGCCCACUUCUUCGCCUCCCUCUCUUGGGUGACAUCAAGCACAAAAGAAAUACAAGUAAGACUGCCUUUCUUCCCCUUCUUGGCCCAUUCUCCAAGAGCCAUGCCCAUAUAGCUGUUAGCCCAGAUUGACAAAGGAGGAUAUUCUCCAUGAAUGAAUGUGGUCUGGAACCAGAAAUCUCUC
rnacentral:sRNA from 1 species